CUUGAAGAAUUUUAUGACAAGGAAGUGCUGAAAAGGUCCUGGCUUUAAGGGUAUUGUGAAAAGCCUAGUUGGAGGCCCAACCUUCCAAGUUCUUUCACAGGGCUUAGAAAAACAAGGACUGCUGCAACAAGUAAGUGAAUCUAAGAGGGGAAUGUGUUGAAUAAAAUCAUAAUUAACUGAC